GGAGCACCUAGUGAAGGGAGUGGCUGGUGCAGGAAGCACAGGUGUGCGCUUUCCACCUGACUGGAAGUGAUAUCUUCAGCUAUUUCAGCCUCUGAUGAGGUGAUGCCAGUGGCAAGUGGAAGGAGGCAAGACCAUCACCUUCUACACCUUCUAUCUGCAGACAAAAGGCAAUGUUAAUUAUGAAGGGCCUGUCUAAUAAGAAAUGGCAGAAUGAUGGUUUCGAGGCAACACUUAAGUUAUCUGUGGAUGAAUCCUUUGCUGAAUCACCUUCACUGGAUAAGACAGGACAUACAAUGGUUCUAUAUAUAUGCUGUGCACAUUACUUCCAUGGAAGCCUGAAGAGACUGUGCCCUUGUCAGAACAUGAUAAGGUAUGGACUCAUUACAUACCUGAGUGAGAAGAGGAAGGGAAAAAUAAAAGAUAAAGGAAAAUGACUGUAAAACUGGCAGUAUGACUCUUCAUCUGUUUUGAAGCUGCAGAGUGCCUCCUGAUAUGCAAGAAAGAUGUUGGGUCCAGGAUUUGACUUGUAAGUCCAACCAAUACAAACAUAAAAAUUUCUGUGUAAUUC